rnacentral:lncRNA from 1 species
UUUUUCCUGCUUCCUCUUAUUAAUGAACGAGUAUUUGCAUACCAAAACAUUUGCAGAGAAGAGAUUCAGACAGGAUUAGGUGGCUUUAUCGGUGGUGGUGAGGUUGUGGGGCGGGGGUAUUUUUCUUGGAGCUUGGUGUAUUCCUGAAUCCAUCAGAUGUUGGUGUCCGCGUGGAUGACUAGGAAAAGGGGAUUGGAGAUUAGGUUUCUUCUACUUGGAGUUCUCUGCUGCUUGUUUGAGCUUAAUAAGCCUCCUGAAGAAGUUGAAGCAAUUUAUUGCUAGAGGAGCCCCAAUGUAUAAUCUCCCUUUCAUUCUCUACUGUGGAGAGGUGUGCUAAACCUGUAGAGCUGUUUUUGCUUCACUCGGCUCAUACUUAAUGAUCAACAAGUAUGGUGUGAGAUGGUAACCUCAGAUAACCAUUUUAAAUCUGCCUUUGUUUGCUCAUAUACUCUGUCUCCUAAUGAUUCAGCACAACAAACAUUCCAGAGAGAAAAAACAAAAGAGUUUCUGGAGGCUGCUCACAUUCCUUGGCUUAUGGCCUCCUUCUUCCAACGUCAAAGCCAGCAACAUUGCAGCAAUCUGACUUAUUUUGUUGUCAUGUCUCCUGACCACAUCUGGAAGGGUUAUCUACUUUUGAAGACACAUCCAGAUAAUUCAGGACAAUCUGUCCAUUUUGAGGUUCUUCAUUGAAUCAUGUCUGCAAAGUCCCUUCUGCAAUCUAAGUAAGAAAAAUCACCAAGAAUAUUAUUUUUGGUAUUUGGAAUUGAAUUUGCCAGGAAUGCAAGCACUGCUACCUAACUAAAGACCUUGGCUUUGGAAACAUCUUACCCCUUGGCAGCUCUCCAGAGUUUAGACUUGGCAGCAUCAAAGACACAACGCAAGGUGUGUUUAUUUGAUUUAACAUUUUGCAAAAGGUGUUUUGAUUUGUGGUUUGUUUUCUUUCACUUUGUACUUAUUGCUUUGGGUUGUUUUUUUCUGGCAAUGAACCUGGGUUCCAAGCAUAGGUUUUUCUUAUGGAAGGCAGUUUUACAAUAAGGAAAUGUUUUUACUUGUAUUUAUUUUGUGAUAUUUCAGCAAAUCCAAAUAAAUGUAGUAACAUUUAUAAAGCUAUACAUUUAUAACUGAUUUAUUUGUUAAAUAUUUAGUAUUAUCAAUUGUCUGUUAAAGAUUUGUUGCUACAUUAAAUGCUUGGUCUGUCUUGAUGUUCAGUACAUUAUUAUACUUUGGUAUAUUGCAAUAUUUUGAUAAUUAUGUAUUGGUUUUAGUCACUGUUCCUGCAUAUUAAGUAAUAAACAGAUUAAUAUCAUCAUAAAAUAUCAUUUACUCAGCAAUAUUUCUUAGUAAAUUGAUACAUCCAUUUUUCUUAUGUAUUGUGGAGAGAGGAAAUAUGACAUAAAAUGGAAGAAUAUGGGCCUCUGUUUAUCUCUGACCUCAUCGCUUACUGUUCUUUCCCACUCCUCACUCUACUCAAAGCCUUUAAAUAGCUCUCCAUUUUACUCAACAUCAAAUCUAAAUAAAGCUCUUAAACUGGUCUAAAUGUCUCUACAGUACUUGAACCUUUGUUAUUUCUCUAAUUUCAUCUUCAACUCUGCUCAUCGUUAUUCUCUUGCCCUGGGCAUACUGCCUCCCUUUUUGUUCUCUGAACGUGCCAGGCAUUUUCUCAUCUCAGAAUUUUUGCACUUGCUAUUCUUUCUACUGAAUUGCUCUUCAUCCAUAUAUAGCAAUUGUAUGACCAAUUUCCUUACUUUUCUUUUGGUCGUUAUUAAAAUUUCACCUUCUAAAUGGAGUCUUACCUGAUGACCAUCCAAAGCUUUAUAUUCUUUCUUUGCUCUAUAAUUUUUAUCACUAUCUAUUAAACUAUAUAUUUACACUU